GUCCACGCCGUAAACUAUGGGUACUAGGCGCUGGGGGGAGCGACCCCUUCGGUGCCGUCGUUAACACAGUAAGUACCCCGCCUGGGGAGGUACGGCCGCAAGGCUGAAACUCAAAGGAAUUGACGGGGGGCCCCGGCACAAGCGGUGGAGCAUGUUGUUCAAUUCGAAGCAACGCGAAGAACCUUACCUGGGCUUGACAUGCACGGGAAAGCUGGUGGAAACAUCGGCCCCUCUUCGGAGUCCGUGCACAGGUGCUGCAUGGCUGUCGU
rnacentral:rRNA from 1 species